GAUGAUGCAGCUACAGGCUUAACACAUGCAAGUCGAGCGGAACACUUUCGGGUGUUUAGCGGCAGACGGGUGAGUAACACGUAUCUAACUCCCUCCCUUACUCGGGUAUAGCCUCGGGAAACUGAGAGUAAUCCCCGAUGUGGUGCACGGAGAGCAUUUUUUGCGCACGAAAGAUUUAUCGGUAAGGGGUGGGGAUGCGCUCCAUUAGGUAGUAGGCGGGGUAACGGCCCACCUAGCCGAUGAUGGAUAGGGGUUCUGAGAGGAAGGGCAGCAUGAUCAAAGCUUGCUUUGAUUGAUGGCGACCGGUUACUGGAGGCAGCAGUGAGGAAUAUUGGUCAAUGGGCGAGAGCCUGAACCAGCCAAGUAGCGUGCAGGAUGACGGCCCUAUGGGUUGUAAACUGCUUUUAUAUGGGGAUAAAGUGAGGGACGUGUCCCAGUGAGGACCAAGGAAAAGGACCGGCUAAUUCCGUGCAGCAGCCGCGGUAAUACGGAAUGUUCUGGUCGUAUCCGAUUUAUUGGGGUUUAAAGGGAGCGCAGGCUGACUCUCUCACACCGUGACGUGAAAUGUAGCCCCCUCCACGCUGAACUGCGUCCCGAACUGGCAGUCUUGAUGAAUACCAACGUCCGCGAUCCUGUGUGGUAGCCGGUGAAUGCUUAAAAUUCACAGAAACCCCGAUGCAUGCACCCUGACAAGUCUUUACUGACCUAAGCUCGAAGGUGCGGUAUCGACAGAUAAAAUCUGUAUCGCCGUUAACAUGAUGCCGGUUGCAUAUGUCCGGCAACGAAGUUAGCUCCCUGGAUACGGCACGAACCAAGAUACGGCCCACGGAACUGUUAUACGGAUACGGAACUCACGUGA
rnacentral:rRNA from 1 species